GCCUGGGUGGCUCAGUUGGUGAAGCACCUGACUUUGGCUCAGGUCAUGAUCUCAGAGUUCGUGAGUUCGAGCCCCUUGUCAGGCU
rfam:Felis catus isolate Cinnamon breed Abyssinian chromosome F2, whole genome shotgun sequence.